GGUAUCGGGCCCAAACGGAGCCAAACCAUAACCAUCUGAACCAGCAACCUCGUAUCCAAAUAACUCAAGGUCUAAAACGAUUCCACAACAUAGAUCGAUUCCAACGGCGCCUCUAUCGUUCCCAAGUUCGCCUUUCACUUUCAGAGUCGGCGCCAUGAAAUGUCGAAGAACGAAACUUCGGAUUCAAUUCCGUCACCAGAACCCCAUUCGCUUCGGAUUUGCCUUCAUAUUCACUGUCGGCAUCGCGAAAUCCAUAACAGAACCAACUCGUGUCGAGCGCGAAACCGAACGGCACCGCGAGAGUCAAACGGAUAAGUUAAUGAAGGUAGAAGACUUACCGGAAAAGCGCUUUGAUACGAUGAUUACAGGUACCAAGUUCUCCAACUCUUUCUUCAUAGAGCUCAACCGUUUAGAGCUCCAAACGUCGAAGCUCUAACGGCCACGAGAUGAGCGUGUAACUAGGGUUGUGGAUGGUGGAGAGAGAAAUGGAAGGUGGAAUUCUGCGUGCGAAGUUCCAAUUUCCGUUGAAGAAUUGGUGGUGUUUAAAGGAGUUGAAGAAAAAAAGUCGGAACCGAAAAUGAAUUAUGGUGAUAUGAAUUCAUAGAGUUGGAAGUGGUUAACCGAAUCGGGCAGCUCAGGUUUGAAAUGUCCAAUGGCAUUUGUAGGCUAGGAUUCAAUUAGGUUUGUGGCGGAAACUUGUUUUGCAGUUGAGCUUGCAAUGUCAGUAUCGGCUUUGGCGCCGUUGUUAUGGCUUGGAUGCGUCGCUUGCAGCUUUGUAGCCUGCGGUUUGCGCUGCGGUUUGGAGCUUAUGCGGCCGUUUUCAAUUGCCCCUUUUUGUAGCAGCUUUUGUUUCUGUUGUAGAUUCUUGGUGACUGCAUUUCAGCUUGCACGGCCUGAAGUAUCCAUGUUGCAGUUUGCUACCUGCUUUCUGUUUUCACGUUUGGCUGCUGCUUCUGUUUGCACUUCCCCUUUUCAAUUGCAUUUUCUCCAUUUUAUUUUAACUUGUAAAUUGAAUUUGGAUUAUGGAUUAUGGAUUAUGUUUGGAUAUGGUUAAUUGAUAAUUUGGAUAUGAUGGUUAGAUAUUAUGUACCAAAAGGAUUAAUUUGGUUUUAUGGAUAUGGAAUUGUAACAAUGGAUUUAAUGUGGUAAAUGGACAAUGAAUGAAAUUCGACAUGGUUCAUUGGAUU